UCUAAGUAUAAGCAAUUAUACCGCGAAACUGCGAAUGGCUCAUUAAAUCAGUUAUCGUUUAUUUGAUAGUACCUUACUACAUGGAUAACCGUGGUAAUUCUAGAGCUAAUACAUGCUAAAAACCCCGACUCACGAAGGGGUGUAUUUAUUAGAUUAAAAACCAAUGCCCCUCGGGGCUCUCUGGUGAUUCAUAAUAACUUCACGAAUCGCAUGGCCUUGCGCCGGCGAUGGUUCAUUCAAAUUUCUGCCCUAUCAACUUUCGAUGGCAGGGUCUUGGCCUGCCAUGGUUACAACGGGUAACGGAGGGUUAGGGCUCGACCCCGGAGAAGGAGCCUGAGAAACGGCUACUACAUCCAAGGAAGGCAGCAGGCGCGCAAAUUACCCAAUCCCGACACGGGGAGGUAGUGACAAUAAAUACUGAUACAGGGCUCUUUUGGGUCUUGUAAUUGGAAUGAGUACAAUUUAAAUCCCUUAACGAGGAACAAUUGGAGGGCAAGUCUGGUGCCAGCAGCCGCGGUAAUUCCAGCUCCAAUAGCGUAUAUUAAAGUUGUUGCAGUUAAAAAGCUCGUAGUUGAACCUUGGGCCUGGCUGGCCGGUCCGCCUCACCGCGUGCACUGGUUCGGCCGGGCCUUUCCCUCUGGGGAGCCCUAUGCCCUUCACUGGGUGUAGUGGGGAACCAGGACUUUUACUGUGAAAAAAUUAGAGUGUUCAAAGCAGGCCUAUGCUCGAAUACAUCAGCAUGGAAUAAUAGAAUAGGACGUGUGGUUCUAUUUUGUUGGUUUCUAGGACCGCCGUAAUGAUUAAUAGGGACAGUCGGGGGCAUCAGUAUUCAAUUGUCAGAGGUGAAAUUCUUGGAUUUAUUGAAGACUAACUACUGCGAAAGCAUUUGCCAAGGAUGUUUUCAUUAAUCAGGAACGAAAGUUA
rnacentral:rRNA from 1 species